rnacentral:rRNA from 1 species
UACGGAGGGUGCAAGCGUUAUCCGGAUUCACUGGGUUUAAAGGGAGCGUAGGAGGGCAGGUAAGUCAGUGGUGAAAUCUUCGAGCUUAACUCGGAAACUGCCGUUGAUACUAUCUGUCUUGAAUACCGUGGAGAUGAGCGGAAUAUGUCAUGUAGCGGUGAAAUGCUUAGAUAUGACAUAGAACACCAAUUGCGAAGGCAGCUCACUACGCGAAUAUUGACACUGAGGCACGAAAGCGUGGGGAUCAAACAGG